UAAGGAAUAUUGGUCAAUGGGCGGAAGCCUGAACCAGCCAUGCCGCGUGCAGGAAGACGACCCUAUGGGUUGUAAACUGCUUUUGUCAGGGGAUAAACCUAUCUACGAGUAGAUAGCUGAAGGUACUUGAAGAAUAAGGAUCGGCUAACUCCGUGCCAGCAGCCGCGGUAAUACGGAGGAUCCGAGCGUUAUCCGGAUUUAUUGGGUUUAAAGGGUGCGCAGGCGGACUGGUAAGUCAGGGGUGAAAAUCUACGGCUCAACUGUAGACGUGCCUUUGAUACUGCCAGACUAGAGUUAAGAUGGAGUGGGCGGAAUGUGUUGUGUAGCGGUGAAAUGCUUAGAUAUAACACAGAACACCGAUCGCGAAGGCAGCUCACUAAACUUUGACUGACGCUCAUGCACGAAAGCGUGGGGAUCAAACA
rnacentral:rRNA from 1 species